GCUGGGUGUGGUGGUGCAUGCCUGUAGUCCCAGCUACUCAGGAGGCUGAGGCAGGAGAAUCGCUUGAGCCCAGGAGGUAGAGACUGCAGUGAGCUGAGAUCACGCCACUGCACUACAGCCUGGGUGACAAAGCGAGAGCCUGUCUCAA
rnacentral:SRP_RNA from 1 species